rnacentral:rRNA from 2 species
UACGUAGGGUGCGAGCGUUAAUCGGAAUUACUGGGCGUAAAGCGUGCGCAGGCGGUUUUGUAAGACAGAGGUGAAAUCCCCGGGCUCAACCUGGGAACUGCCUUUGUGACUGCAAGGCUAGAGUACGGCAGAGGGGGAUGGAAUUCCGCGUGUAGCAGUGAAAUGCGUAGAUAUGCGGAGGAACACCGAUGGCGAAGGCAAUCCCCUGGGCCUGUACUGACGCUGAGAUGCGAAAGCGUGGGGAGCAAAC